rnacentral:rRNA from 1 species
GACGGAGGAUGCAAGCGUUAUCCGGAAUGAUUGGGCGUAAAGCGUCCGCAGGUGGCAGUUCAAGUCUGCUGUGAAAGACCGGGGCUUAACUUCGGAAAGGCAGUGGAAACUGAACAGCUAGAGUAUGGUAGGGGCAGAGGGAAUUCCUGGUGUAGCGGUGAAAUGCGUAGAGAUCAGGAAGAACAUCGGUGGCGAAGGCGCUCUGCUGGACCAGAACUGACACUGAGGGACGAAAGCGAGGGGAGCGAAUGGG